rnacentral:tRNA from 1 species
CCCCUCGCUCGGGAACGCCAUCCAGGUCCGCUCGUGGCGGGCCGUCUCGGCGGGCAUGCGCCAGCUCAUGCGUGGUCUCCGUUCGUGCGGGGGGA